AUUACCCACUGCUCGAUCGCAAUUCGUGUGGCAAGCGGGCCGCGGGUUUUGCCGCUGGUAAUAACAGUCCGUCAGCUGGAAACGGUUCCUCGGAUGACGGGGACUACGGCGGUGAUGGAGAUGACGGAGACAAUGACGGUGAUCAGGGUGGAAACCAAGGGGGCCGCGGUUGCAGCCAAGGACGAGGUCCUUGCAAUCAAGGCGGUGCCGGCGGUUGCAGUGGAGGAAAGACCGGUCCCUGCAAUUCUCGUCCAGGAGGUAACCGCCCAGGAGUCAGUCCGGGAAAAUCGACAUACCAUCCUGGACCUCAAGGCGCGGGUUCUUCUGCAUAUCCAGGAGGUCAAGGUGCGGGCAGUUCUCAUCCAGGAGGUCAAGGUGUAGCCAGUCCCUAUCCAAAACUUCAAGGAGCAGGUAGUCCUUACCAAGGAGGUCAAGGUGCAGCUAGUCCCUAUCCAAAACUUCAAGGAGCAGGUACUCCUUACCAAGGAGGUCAAGGUACAGGCAGUCCCUAUCAAGGAGGUCGAGGCGCCGGUAAUCCUUAUCCAAGUGGCCAAGGUUCAGGCAGCCCGUCAUACCCAGGAAGCCAAGGUCCCAACAGCGGUGGCUGUGACGGAUCCUGCAAUCGUCCUGGAAAGAGAGGUCCACCUCGCGGUGGCAACCUUCAACAACCUAUCAGUGGUCAAUAUCCCGGAGGACAAAGUUCCGGUAACGCGCAUCCAGGAAACGGCGGUGGUGGUGGCCCCGGUGCUGCGUAUCCCCCACCGAACAGCAUCUGCAACUAUAAAAAAUGAUUUAGUCAGAUGAUUUUGAGUAUUGCGAUUUUGUUGUAUGAAUCGAGCAGCUGGAGACGAAGUGACCACGCGGACUCAUCGAGUAUACAUAUACAUAUAUACAUUUGUAAUUAUUAGAUAGUUAUAUAAUGUGUAAAUAAAUUAUUGACCUUUUUGAGAUAAAUACUUGUUUUUAUUUUUCAUGUAGAGUUAGGCCACACAUAAAAUUACAUCAUAGUGCCAUUAUUUAACGACCAAUGCUUUAAUUUAAAUUUAUUUUUUAAUAAUACCAUCUCAGCGCGAUUAUAGUGCGAAAUUGAGAACAUUAAAACCUGAAUAUCAUAAAUAUUAAUUCAGUGAAAAUUAAUUGGUAGCCACAGAUUUAAUUUAGUAUAAUUGUAUGGUUAUAAUUUUAAAUAAAGAUGAAAAUUCCGUAUUUUAAAUUUACGGAACUUCAAAAAGAUAACCAUAAGAUAUCUCUUUAUCUAAAAAGCAAAGUGUUUUAGAUAUUUAUGUCUGCUGCAUUUAACCUUAAAUGUAGGUUUUGCCGAUGCCGGAAUCAUAUGAUACGUGAUGUAAACAGUAUAUCAAAUUUUGAUAAAAUAAGAUCAAGUUUUUUCAUAACAAAUAAGUAUGAAUCCAACAUUGUCAACACGAGUUAUUAUUCGAACAUUUCGACCUAAUUUCUGUCGAUAUCUUUCUGUGCAAUCAAGUGUCAACAAAAGUAGCAAUAGCUCUACUGGAACACCACAUUUUCACCGAAAAAUUGAAAAUCGUUCAUCCAAUUUCCCGUUAUUCAAACAACCCUUUCGAAAUUCACUGUGCAACGCACCUUUGCCACUGUGCUCAAGUUUUCACAGAAAUUAUGCAAAAAAGGCAGAGGAUCCACUAGAUCUUGAUAAACCACCAGAGCCGGAGGUAUGGAAAUCAUCUUUAGGGAAUACAAAAACAUCAGAAGAAGAUAUUGAAGAAAUAGCAGCUAGUAUAUCAGAAAUACUUGAUGCUUUUGGAGAAACUUAUGCAGUCAAAUAUGCUGAAGAGUUAUUUGUAGAGAUGCACAAUAUCACUGGAUUGCCAUGGUGGGCAUCGAUUGCACUCACAGCAGUUUUAGUUAGAACAACUAUGGUUUUGCCAAUGUCUUUAGUUCAGGUCAGAAUUAUGGGAAGAUUACAAAUGGUUACAUUGCAUAUGACUAAAGUUAUGGAAAGAUUGAAAAAAGAGUCAAAUGAAGCUCGUAAAAGAUUUGGUUGGCCAGAUGAAGUCAUAACUGAAAAAUACAAGAAAGCAGUGAAAAAUGAAUGGGAUUAUCAAAUAGGAAAGGAAAACUGUCAUCCAAUAAAAACUCUCUUCCCUAUUCUGAUUCAAGUACCAACUUGGGCAGUAUUUUCACUCGGUUUGAGGAACUUGUGUCUACCACCUAGGGAAGGUGCUGCUCCUAGUGAGGUAUACACAGAAUUAUCAAUUGGUGGUUUUGGAUGGGUAACAGAUCUCACAGCCAUUUAUCCUACAUUUGCAUUACCAGUGUCGCUUGGAAUUGUUUAUUUUUUAACAAUAGAAGUUCACAGAAUGUUUAGACUACAACCAUAUGUUUCUGCAGAAGAAGUAAAAUGCCUAUUUAUGCAAUGUAUAAAUAUUGGUGUAGUAGGAUUGAGUAUAGUGUCACCCACGGCAUUGAGCAUCUAUUGGUUAAGUAGCGCUUCAUAUGGAUUGAUACAAGCUUUCCUAGUGAAUACACAAGCGUCGUAUCGUCUCCUCAAUAUACCCGUCUUAGGCACUCCCAUGGAACACCCAUAUCGCCUUUUUAGAGAAAAUCUGAAGAACAGAUUUAAAAAGAGGGAAAAAGAACCGUUAUAUAUCCGUGAAUAAAGAAGGUAAACAUCACUGAAUAUAGAAAGGACAAUGUAUUUGCUAACAGUACAACACAUCUUCUUUUAUAAUUAAUUAAUUUUUCGACUACUUUUACAUUGACAACUCUUUUUCAAUUCGCGUCCUCCAAGUACUUCCGAGUCUCAUUCGUAUACUCGCUGUACUUCACAGUGUCUUUUGCAAUUAAUUAAUAAUCCAAGAAAACUCGGAUCGUCGAUCAUUAUAUCUCAGGAAAAUACGAUAAUUAUAGACGUCCAACAUAAUACUCGAUACCUUCGAUUCCGCGUAAGAUGCAUCUGAGGAUAGAAAGAGAGAGAGAAUAUCGAAAAAUUACAUCACGCAAAUUUCCACAGCAAUUGACGAGGGAAGAGCGUGUCUUGUUUAAAAACCAAUGCUAAAAAACGCCAGAUGUUUAUUAAGUUCUAGACGUUCCUGCCGUUGACAAGACUGCACGCGUUUUUUUUUUUAGAUUCAUUAAGUAAUUGUAGCAAACAUGAAGUCUGGCUCGUAUAGUUUCUGCCUUGCUUUAAGUGUCUUCCCUCUUCUCGUCAAUCUAGUCAAUGUACAAGGCCAGAACUACGGCGCAGGCUACGUUUUGCCAGUACCGGGUGACUGUUACAAGUACCAGGUGUGCGACUACAGCGGCUGCUUCGUCUUUAACUGCGGAAUUGGUACCGAAUUCAAUCCCCGGAUUCUCGUCUGUGACUAUCCUCUACGCGAUCGAGGUGCCUGCGGCAGUCGAGGGAUCAUCACGCAGGGACCCGGUAAUCCUGGAGGAUAUCCCGGAGGAUACCCUGGAACUGCGAAUCCCGGAUAUCCCGGAGCCGCAAGUGCUUAUCCAGCAAACACGGUCUAUUGAUUUUGACGACGAGAGCAGAGCUUAAGACGACGCGGCGCACAUGAUUGUUAGAUGCAUAGAUCUAUGUGAAAUAUAUAAAUAAAUUGUUGAUAUACUUUUUGGA